GUAACCCGAAAACUCAAUAACUCGAACACCCUGUAACACGAACCCUCAAUAACCCGAGCACCCAGUAACCCGAACCCUCAAUAACUCGAACACCCAGUAACCCGAAUACCCAGAAACCCGAACCCACGGUAACAAGAACACUCUGUUAUUUGAACAUCUCCUUCAUUCGAACAACACCCCGAUAACCCAAUGUUUCCAUAUUUCUUUUGGAGGAUCCGUUAUCGGGGCUCGACAAUUGUUAUGAAAUUUUGAUCAUUCAUUCUCAGGAACAUGUAUCGAUGGAAUAAACAACUACACUUGCCGAUGUCACGUGUGCUAUAAAGGUGCCCUAUGUGAUGAGAAAGAGCGCAUUUGUGGCGAAGACACGUGUUACCCAGGAGUUAAGUGCAGAGAAAUCCCUGAUGGUGUGUUGUGUCGAUCGUGUUCUGACGGUCUUAUUGGCAACGGGAUGACGUGUAUAGCCCCUGUAACAACAACUCGACCACAGAGCACACAAGACCGUGACCACACGAAUGGUAAUGACCGUCCGUUUUCUUGUCCUUCUGUCUGUCUGUCUCGUAUAUUCGAGGGCGAGUUAUCCUUUAACCUCUGCUAUAUUGUUGGUCCUGAUUGAUAUUUAAGCUCAAGAGAGUACACCAUCUGGUCCUACGACACAAACUCCUACCGAUACUCUUCCAGGCAUAAGUCUCAUUGUCAUUCAUCAAUAUAGACCAAAAUGUCAAAACCAAAAAUAUCUACCA